AUUGAACGCUGGCGGCAGGCUUAACACAUGCAAGUCGAGCGCGAAAGCCUUUCGGGGUGAGUAGAGCGGCGGACGGGUGAGUAACGCGUAGGAAUCUACCUGGUAGUGGGGGACAACUUGGGGAAACUCAAGCUAAUACCGCAUACGCCCUAAGGGGGAAAGUGGGGGAUCUUCGGACCUCACGCUAUCGGAUGAGCCUGCGUAGGAUUAGCUAGUUGGUGGGGUAAAGGCUCACCAAGGCGACGAUCCUUAGCUGGUCUGAGAGGAUGAUCAGCCACACUGGGACUGAGACACGGCCCAG
rnacentral:rRNA from 1 species